GGCUCAGGACGAACGCUGGCGGCGUGCCUAAUACAUGCAAGUAGAACGCUGAGGUCUGGUGCUUGCACUAGACCAAGGAGUUGCGAACGGGUGAGUAACGCGUAGGUAACCUACCUCAUAGCGGGGGAUAACUAUUGGAAACGAUAGCUAAUACCGCAUGACAAUAGAGUACACAUGUACUUAAUUUAAAAGGGGCAACUGCUCCACUAUGAGAUGGACCUGCGUUGUAUUAGCUAGUUGGUGAGGUAACGGCUCACCAAGGCGACGAUACAUAGCCGACCUGAGAGGGUGAUCGGCCACACUGGGACUGAGACACGGCCCAGACUCCUACGGGAGGCAGCAGUAGGGAAUCUUCGGCAAUGGGGGGAACCCUGACCGAGCAACGCCGCGUGAGUGAAGAAGGUUUUCGGAUCGUAAAGCUCUGUUGUUAGAGAAGAACGGUAAUGGGAGUGGAAAAUCCAUUACGUGACGG
rnacentral:rRNA from 2 species